GGGUUGUGAGGUUAAGCGACUAAGCGUACACGGUGGAUGCCCUGGCAGUCAGAGGCGAUGAAGGACGUGCUAAUCUGCGAAAAGCGCCGGCGAGGUGAUAUGAACCUUUGACCCGGCGAUGUCCGAAUGGGGAAACCCAGUGCAAUCCGUUGCACUAUCGUUAACUGAAUACAUAGGUUAACGAGGCGAACCGGGGGAACUGAAACAUCUAAGUACCCCGAGGAAAAGAAAUCAACCGAGAUUCCCCCAGUAGCGGCGAGCGAACGGGGAGCAGCCCGGAGUCUGAAUCAGCUUGUGUGUUAGUGGAACGGUCUGGAAAGUCCGACGGUACAGGGUGAUAGUCCCGUACACGAAAGCACACAUGCUGUGAACUCGAAGAGUAGGGCGGGACACGUGGUAUCCUGUCUGAAUAUGGGGGGACCAUCCUCCAAGGCUAAAUACUCCUGACUGACCGAUAGUGAACCAGUACCGUGAGGGAAAGGCGAAAAGAACCCCGGCGAGGGGAGUGAAAAAGAACCUGAAACCGUGUACGUACAAGCAGUGGGAGCCUCUUUAUGGGGUGACUGCGUACCUUUUGUAUAAUGGGUCAGCGACUUAUAUUCUGUAGCAAGGUUAACCGUAUAAGGGAGCCGAAGGGAAACCGAGUCUUAACUGGGCGUUAAGUUGCAGGGUAUAGACCCGAAACCCGGUGAUCUAGCCAUGGGCAGGUUGAAGGUUGGGUAACACUAACUGGAGGACCGAACCGACUAAUGUUGAAAAAUUAGCGGAUGACCUGUGGCUGGGGGUGAAAGGCCAAUCAAACCGGGAGAUAGCUGGUUCUCCCCGAAAGCUAUUUAGGUAGCGCCUCGUGAACUCAUCUUCGGGGGUAGAGCACUGUUUCGGCUAGGGGGCCAUCCCGGCUUACCAACCCGAUGCAAACUACGAAUACCGAAGAAUGUUAUCACGGGAGACACACGGCGGGUGCUAACGUCCGUCGUGAAGAGGGAAACAACCCAGACCGCCAGCUAAGGUCCCAAAGUCAUGGUUAAGUGGGAAACGAUGUGGGAAGGCACAGACAGCCAGGAUGUUGGCUUAGAAGCAGCCAUCAUUUAAAGAAAGCGUAAUAGCUCACUGGUCGAGUCGGCCUGCGCGGAAGAUGUAACGGGGCUAAACCAUGCACCGAAGCUGCGGCAGCGACGCUUAGGCGUUGUUGGGUAGGGGAGCGUUCUGUAAGCCGUUGAAGGUGUCCUGUGAGGGGUGCUGGAGGUAUCAGAAGUGCGAAUGCUGACAUAAGUAACGAUAAAGCGGGUGAAAAGCCCGCUCGCCGGAAGACCAAGGGUUCCUGUCCAACGUUAAUCGGGGCAGGGUGAGUCGACCCCUAAGGCGAGGCCGAAAGGCGUAGUCGAUGGGAAACAGGUUAAUAUUCCUGUACUUGGUGUUACUGCGAAGGGGGGACGGAGAAGGCUAUGUCAGCCGGGCGACGGUUGUCCCGGUUUAAGCAUGUAGGCGGAGGUUCCAGGUAAAUCCGGUACCUUAUUAACGCUGAGGUGUGAUGACGAGGCACUACGGUGCUGAAGUGAUAAAUGCCCUGCUUCCAGGAAAAGCCUCUAAGCAUCAGGUAACACGAAAUCGUACCCCAAACCGACACAGGUGGUCAGGUAGAGAAUACCAAGGCGCUUGAGAGAACUCGGGUGAAGGAACUAGGCAAAAUGGUGCCGUAACUUCGGGAGAAGGCACGCUGAUAUGUAGGUGAAGCCCCUGCGGGCGGAGCUGAAAUCAGUCGAAGAUACCAGCUGGCUGCAACUGUUUAUUAAAAACACAGCACUGUGCAAACACGAAAGUGGACGUAUACGGUGUGACGCCUGCCCGGUGCCGGAAGGUUAAUUGAUGGGGUUAGCGGCAACGCGAAGCUCUUGAUCGAAGCCCCGGUAAACGGCGGCCGUAACUAUAACGGUCCUAAGGUAGCGAAAUUCCUUGUCGGGUAAGUUCCGACCUGCACGAAUGGCGUAAUGAUGGCCAGGCUGUCUCCACCCGAGACUCAGUGAAAUUGAACUCGCUGUGAAGAUGCAGUGUACCCGCGGCAAGACGGAAAGACCCCGUGAACCUUUACUAUAGCUUGACACUGAACACUGGUCCUUGAUGUGUAGGAUAGGUGGGAGGCUUUGAAGCGUGGACGCCAGUCUGCGUGGAGCCAACCUUGAAAUACCACCCUUUAAUGGCUGGUGUUCUAACGUAGACCCGUAAUCCGGGUUGCGGACAGUGUCUGGUGGGUAGUUUGACUGGGGCGGUCUCCUCCCAAAGAGUAACGGAGGAGCACGAAGGUUGGCUAAUCCUGGUCGGACAUCAGGAGGUUAGUGCAAUGGCAUAAGCCAGCUUGACUGCGAGCGUGACGGCGCGAGCAGGUGCGAAAGCAGGUCAUAGUGAUCCGGUGGUUCUGAAUGGAAGGGCCAUCGCUCAACGGAUAAAAGGUACUCCGGGGAUAACAGGCUGAUACCGCCCAAGAGUUCAUAUCGACGGCGGUGUUUGGCACCUCGAUGUCGGCUCAUCACAUCCUGGGGCUGAAGUAGGUCCCAAGGGUAUGGCUGUUCGCCAUUUAAAGUGGUACGCGAGCUGGGUUUAGAACGUCGUGAGACAGUUCGGUCCCUAUCUGCCGUGGGCGCUGGAGAAUUGAGGGGGGCUGCUCCUAGUACGAGAGGACCGGAGUGGACGCAUCACUGGUGUUCGGGUUGUCAUGCCAAUGGCACUGCCCGGUAGCUAAAUGCGGAAGAGAUAAGUGCUGAAAGCAUCUAAGCACGAAACUUGCCCCGAGAUGAGUUCUCCCUGAGACCUUGAGUCUCCUGAAGGAACGUUGAAGACUACGACGUUGAUAGGUCGGGUGUGUAAGCGCAGCGAUGCGUUGAGCUAACCGAUACUAAUGAACCGUGAGGCUUAACCUUACAACGCCGAAG
rnacentral:rRNA from 1 species